rnacentral:rRNA from 1 species
GAUGAACGCUGGCGGCGUGCCUAAUACAUGCAAGUCGAGCGAACGGACGAGAAACUUGCUUCUCUGAUGUUAGCGGCGGACGGGUGAGUAACACGUGGAUAACCUACCUAUAAGACUGGGAUAACUUCGGGAAACCGUAGCUAAUACCGGAUAAUAUUUUGAACCGCAUGGUUCAAAAGUGAAAGACGGUCUUGCUGUCACUUAUAGAUGGAUCCGCGCUGCAUUAGCUAGUUGGUAAGGUAACGGCUUACCAAGGCAACGAUGCAUAGCCGACCUGAGAGGGUGAUCGGCCACACUGGAGCUGAGACACGGUCCAGACUCCUACGGGAGGCAGCAGUAGGGAAUCUUCCGCAAUGGGCGAAAGCCUGACGGAGCAACGCCGCGUGAGUGAUGAAGGUCUUCGGAUCGUAAAACUCUGUUAUUAGGGAAGAACAUAUGUGUAAGUAACUGUGCACAUCUUGACGGUACCUAAUCAGAAAGCCACGGCUAACUACGUG